rfam:TPA: Bos taurus chromosome 20, whole genome shotgun sequence.
UCCCUGUAGCUCAAACAGUAAGGGAUCUGCCUGCAACGCAGGAGAUCCGGGUUCAAACCCUGGGUUGGGAA